rnacentral:rRNA from 1 species
CCUACGGGGGGCAGCAGUGGGGAAUAUUGCACAAUGGGGGAAACCCUGAUGCAGCGACGCCGCGUGAGUGAAGAAGUAUUUCUGUAUGUAAAGCUCUAUCAGCAGGAACGAGACAAGACGGUACCUGACUAAGAAGCCCCGGCAAACUACGUGCCAGCAGCCGCGGUAAUACGUAGGGGGCAAGCGUUAUCCGGAAACACUGGGUGUAAAGGGAGCGUAGACGGCUUAGCAAGCCUGAAGUGAAAGGCGGGGGCACAACCCCCGGACUGCUUUGGGAACUGUAGGGGUGGAGGGCAGGAGAGGUAAGUGGAAGUCCUAGUGUAGCGGUGAAAUGCGUAGAUAUUAGGAGGAACACCAGUGGCGAAGGCGGCUUACUGGACUGUAACUGACGUUGAGGCUCGAAAGCGUGGGGGCAAACAGGAUUAGAUACCCCUGUAGUC